rnacentral:rRNA from 1 species
AAGGUUUCCGUAGGUGRACCUGCGGAAGGAUCAUUG